AGUGUUUUGAGCUCAGGAAAUUCCAAAAGUCAGUGGAGCAGAUUAGAAGGAAAGUUCUAGAAAUGAAAUGACAUUGGAGUUCCUAAAAGAAAAGAGAAAGAUCAAAUUAUAGGGCUUGCACUGAGUUUCAAAGAGGAUUGGCAAGAUGGGUUGUAGAAUUAAAUGACAGGCAGAGUGUGUAUGUGGAGAAGGGUUGGUGUAAAUGUAUGUGUGUUGGUGUGUGUGUACACAUGCAUGAGAGAGAGAGGAGGGAAGCAACAGAGGGCUAUUGAUGCAAACCUAUAGCCUAAUUAAUUAUCCACGACAGAAAAAGAAAUUCCUCCUACCCUUGCAAGUUGUCUUGUCUUCCUCUGAAUACAAAGUGUAUACCAACAGAAUCUACCAGCCAACCAGAACAGACCCACUUGGUGAUCCACCACAUGCCAUGUGACACUUUCCUCAGCCAUGGGAGGGGGCAACUCUCAUGUGUAGCUCUUGCUGACCCUUUAAGAAAACCCAUUCCGCAAAGUGGUCUCUUUAGAAUCUAUCCUUACUGGAACUGUGUGUGACCUCUAAAACGGCUGUGCUAAAUUACCCUUGUUUGGAGAACUUCAAAAAAUUAUCAGAUGAGAACUCACAGAAGACACAGGAAUACGACAUAACAACAGAUACAGAGCCUGGAGUAAUGACAGUACAAGUCAAGGAACACCAAGGAUCACCAGCUGCCACCCAACCCAGGAAGAGGAUUUUGCUCCUCAAGUCAUUGUACUUUGGUACCUACGAAUUUCAACCUUGUCCUUCAUACCCCGUGGGUGUGAAGAUUCCUGGCAGGACUCUAUUUCCACGCUGCAACUAGUAUCUUUCAGAGCCACCCGGUGAAUGGAACUGAAAUGCUACAGGAGUUUGCUUUGGGAUGCUGCAGUGCUGCUAAUGGCUGAGGGCAUCACUGAGAUGUUCUGUAACUCACUGCAGGCGAGAUGCCGCUUCAGUAUCCCAUACCUUUGGCUGCUCUUCGUCUACUAUACCUCCUCACACUUCUCCCAGUCACCUUUCCAGCAGCUGUGAUUCCAGCUGAUUUUGGCCACCCACAUUGAUCUGGACAGGAUGCCUCUCAGAUGGAGUCUCCUCAGCCGCCCAGGUUGGAGUGCAGUGGCGUGAUCUCAGCUCACUGCAACCACUGUCUCCCGGGUUCAAUAGAUUCUCCCAACUCAGCCUCCCGAGUAGCUGGGAUUACAGGCACCUGCCAUCAUGCCUGGCUAAUUAGAGAAUAACUUUUUACAGGACUUAGCAUCAUAUUUUUAUUUGUAUAAAAUAAACAUAAAACUAGAGCUUAUUUCCUGUUAACCAUUUUGUGAGUCUUUUUGUACACUUCCAAAACACCAAUAGCCACUUUAUUAUUUUUCUUUUGCUUUUGUUAGCAUCUUUGGGCCACACAAAUAUUUAGAAGAUUUAUGUGGUAUCAAACUCAUAAUUUUGUGUAAACAAAGCUCACCCAUUUCUAUAUAGUUCAUAUUUCUAAGCCAAGGCAAAGACAAAAUAGGGAUCAUUUUUCUUUGACAAUUUUAUUUAGCAUAAAAGACUAUAUACAGGCAUUACACCUGUAAAAAACAAUUCCAUGUAAAUAAUAAACAUAAACCCCAUAAUUUGGUUUAUAUCUUUAUCCACCUAUCAAAUUCCAUGACCAUUCCCUUAAUUUACAUUUUUACCAGUUUGGUCAGGAUUCAUAGUUGGAGACAGUAGAAUCUUCUUUACCUGAUUGAUGCAAGAGGAAUUACUAAGUGAUAUGACUAGUUCACAGAAUUGUUAAGAGAGCUGAGAAAACAGACUAUGAUGACUUCAUUAACCACAACACAGAAUUAGGCCUCUCAAGGAGUUUCUACCUUUACCCUGCCUCUGCCCCUGUGGAUUUGUGGCUGAAUCAGUGGGCUGGUAUUAGUGCUGUUCCUAUGACGAUGGUUCUAGCUCCAGAAUUACAUCAUCUCUUCCACCCUUUUCCAACAAAAUGUAGCCCCACGUCUGCCUCUCUCCCUUGUAACUCAGUUCCAUAUCAGUUUUGUGUAAGUGCAGCUGUACACAGGAUGGACCCUAGUGCAUAUGCAAUGUCCUAGUUGCAGAGGAGUCUGGGAAACACAGGUUUGGGUGUUCUAGUCUCUACAGCACAAAAAGAUAUGAUAGAAGGGAGUUGAAAUGAGAGUUGAUCAAGCCCAAUCUAAUAGUAUAACUCAUAACUUUCUUAUAUUUCUACUGAGGCCAGAAUGGUCUUUAAAAUGAAACCAUAAUGUUGCUACUCCUGACAUAAAAUCCUUCAGGGAAUUCUAAAGUCAUUCAACAUGGGAACUCUUCAAUAUGCAUUAUAAAACUUUGAUGAUGCAACCCUUAUCCAGGUCUGUAGCCUCAUCUCCUUCCCUCAUAUAUGUAUUUACAAAGUCAGUAUGUGGUUUCAGACCUCCCAAUAUUUGCAUAUUCUGUUCUCUUUGCCUGGAACAUCUUUCUCUGUCUUCUUUCCCUAACUAAUUCCUACUAGUACUUCAAUUAGCUUUGCUAUUAUCACUUGUUCCCAAAGAUGCCCAAUCCCUGUAAUAUGAUGGGAUGUCUACCCAUCUAGCCUCAUAUAAUAUUCUACACAUAUUGAUUUGUAGCACUCAUUUCAUGGAACCGUCAUUAGCCUGAUUUAUUUUUCAG
rnacentral:lncRNA from 10 species